AAUACGUGCAUUUCGGUGAAAAUUGAGUUGAAUUUGCACAAAUGCAGUGCUGAAAAAGUGAAACGAGAGAAUAAAAAACAAUAUUAAUGUGCAAAAUAUGCGGAAAACUGCUUUGAAAUGUGGAGAGCGCAGAACAGCGGUACACAAAAGAAGGAAAGAGAGAAGGGAGAAAAGGAAUGGAAUGAUGGCCGCUUAUACCUGCUCUGCUUCGAAAAAGAAACCGAAACCAGCCACCAAAAAUGUUUGAAACUGUUCUCGCCGCCUCCGUUUGUGCCGCUCUUCUAAGAUAAAGAGCGCGCGACUCGAGAUAAAUGCGAAAAAUAUUGUAUCUCAAUGGCCGCGGUGUUUCCGAUGUGAAAAUUAAACGAAACCGUAUUCAUUAUUUUGUGUUUGUUCUGCUCAACAGAAAAGUGUGUAUUAAAAAACCUCAAUAGCCCCCACAUUACGACGAGAAAACUCAAACGCCAAAACCAUAGUUGAAUUGAGUGAGAAUAAUAUAUAUAUAUAUAUAGAGAGAGAGAGUAAAUACACCGCUACAAUGUCGGAAGAAGUAGAUCGCAACGAUCCCGAGCUGAAAUACCUUUCGGUGGAACGGAACCAAUACAAUGAUCCGGCCACACAGGCGGAAUGGACACAGAAGCGCCUGGUCUGGGUGCCCCACGAGAAUCAGCAGAGACUAAAUUUUUGGCUGGGAUGACAAACAUUUUCUCAAUUCUAUAAUAUCCUUUCCUAGGGUAUGCAUUGUUGCUUGCAUUUUUCCGCAACAUGGAACGCGAUUAUUGCUUUCCGCCAAUGAAAAUUAUGGCAGGAAACGGCUGCGACAGAAUGUCAGGAUGCGUCGUGCUAAUAUUCCCCAAUAAUUGGUAAUAUUCACCCUAAGUCGAUGUCCAAAUAUAGUAAUUUAAGAACAUAAUUUAAAAGUAUGGAAUGGGACUCAUUGUUGUCAACCGGUUAUUACCGAUUCAAAUAAAUACUGAAAUAUACGGUAUUAUUUUCAAAAUAUACCGACGUAUUUUUGAUAUUCUGGCGAAUAUUACUAGCUAAAUAGAACCCUCAGGCCUGCCCACAUAAUUUUAUCCGACUAAUGAAUCAAUUUUCUACUCGACUGGUUUAUUUUAAAUACUUGCUUUUAUUUGAUUUUGCCCAAAGGUCAAACAAAUAAAACGUAAGAGAUUAUCUAUAUAAUGUGUUUGUACAAAAAUUGUGUGUACACACUUGCAACCAUGGUCGAUCUAUCGGCCUAGCCCGCCAGAUUCGAAUCUAUCCUUCUUCUUUCUAAUCUGUGCGCCCAAAAGUACGCUGACCGCAAUUGCCAAAACUAUGCAUCGUGGUAUAGCCGCUCUAUAUAACGAAUGACCCUUUUAUAUCUUUAUUAUCAUAUUGCUGAUUUUGCAUUGCUUUAUAUGAAUAUAAAACUUGAUCAAAAUGGAAAGACAUGAUGCGAGAUGUGGAUGCGAUGCGAAGUAAAGCAACUAAAAUUUUGUUGUAAUGAUUAGCUCAGUACGAUGAGAAGGUAGGUCGGCGGAACGUGUAUAUACGUUUCACAAGAAAAGUCACACGUGCAAAAAGAUUGACACACAACUCUAUUUAACUUUUGACAGAUGUCAGAAACAAUCCCAAAUAAGACACCUGCGUUCGUGGAAAAAGCUAUCACCACUAGGUGAAAAAAGGUUAUUGUGCUAAAACAGCUCCAAAAUGAAAACUACGAAGUGCACGAUAUCUACAACCUGGGAAUGGGUAGAAAGUAGGGUCAAUAUUCCAUUCUAUUUUUUCCAGACCGUUUUCCACCGUCUACUUCGUCAGUUCGCCCUCGUCUGAACCGUCAGCUAGUGUUGGCUCGGUGCAGAUUAUAAAUGUUUAUAGAAUUUUAAUAAAAAAAUUGAAUAUUUUGUUGAAUAAAAUAAAGAUAAAAAAGAAAUAGCAAGAGAGAAAUAAGAAGCAAAGGAGGCGAAGGAGAAUUGAUUCAAUAAAAAAAAGGUACAGAGGAAGUGCACCAGACCACCGACUGUUUCGUCUACAAUCCGGCCUGUUGCCUCGACGCCUAUCCGGCUUCUGAAUGCUGCGAUGCCGAAAUUAAUAAAUGCAGUUGCUGAUUUACUAUGUAUAUAACAAGGUCGAAAUAAUUAUAGUCAUAAAAUCAAAAUCAAAAUCAACAGAAAUAAAAUGUAAAAACAUUUUGUUUAGCUUUAUAACAUUGUUAUUUAAAAAAAAGCGCCGAUAAGUUGCGCUUAUCGCACAAAAGGAGGGAUUUUUCAUCGCAACACUGUCCAUUUCAUUACGUUUUAUUUCUGACCUUCUUUGCUCAAACCUUAUUUUAGGCACAAUAAAAUUAAAUUAAGCAUUUAAAGCUAGCUAAUCUUCUAGAAAAUUUAUUCAUCUAUCGGAUAAAAUUAUGUUUUGAGGACUGAAGGUCUUAGCUAAUCUUAAGUCGAAUUAAGUCAGCAUGAUUCGUGAUUAAAUAUAUUUAUAGCACUUUAGGUGAAAAAUAUCGUGGUCUUUUUUUAUAUAAAGAUGAAGAACCUGCAAGAGUAAAUAUUAUUUUUUGUCUAGUUCAAGUUAUUAUCAGUUUAAAUAAAGGGGGUUUAAGUGGGCUAAGUACGUUUUUUUAUCAGACGGUCAGACUUCUGCUCUCUUCUGAAACGAAAAAAUGAGUCGUUAUUUUUUAAUGGGCCUUAAAAACGGGUAUGGACAACAAACAAAAACAGCCAAGGCAAAUUGCAAGGUUCGUACGAACCUUACCUCGGCGUUGUUGACAAACAAUAUACCUUGAAGUCAAAAGGGUGACUUUAUCCUUUUAUCCUCUUUUUUCUCGUUUUUAUAAGCAAAAAUUCCAUGUAGGUAACAAAAGGGGUUGAUGAAUUAUUCGUCUAAUAAUUUUAAUGUGUCAUAUUGAUAAAUCGUUCACUCUUUCUUGCGACGAAAAAUUGAGUCGUAAUUUAAAAUGGGCUAUAAAAAAGGGUAAGGACAAGGGGCAAAAACAGCCAAGACAAAUGUCGAGGUUCGCGUGUGAUGAAAAUAUUAAGCAAAAGUGGAUUUCAGCUUGCAUGCGGUUGCAUUUUCAGGGCCGUUUUGCCUGCUGCUCAUACCCUUUUUUUUCUUCCAUUAUGUGUAUAUAUAUACUGAAUAUAUACUGAAAAUAUACUGAAUGCGAGUACGCGUUGACAAUAAAUCGAAAACUAUAGAGGUGCUACCGUUAAAAUCGUUAAAAGUCAAACCCAAACACACAGACAACGCGAAGACCACGAAGCAAGUGGAUAGUGGAGUAGGCAAAAGUGAAAGAGAAAAUAGAGAGAACGCGAAACGUAACGCAACAAGGCAAUAAACAAAAAGUGUGUAUUAAAAAACCUCAAUAGCACCCACAUUACGACGAGAAAACUCAAAAGACAAAACCAUAGUUGAAUUGAGUGAGAAUAAUAUAUAUAUAUAUAUAUAGAGAGAGAGAGAGUAAAUACACCGCUACAAUGUCGGAAGAAGUAGAUCGCAACGAUCCCGAGCUGAAAUACCUUUCGGUGGAACGGAACCAAUACAAUGAUCCGGCCACACAGGCGGAAUGGACACAGAAGCGCCUGGUCUGGGUGCCCCACGAGAAUCAACAGAGACUAAAUUUUUGCCUGGGAUGACAAACAUUUUCUCAAUUCUAUAAUAUCCUUUCCUAGGGUAUGCAUUGUUGCUUGCAUUUUUCCGCAACAUGGAACGCGAUUAUUGCUUUCCGCCAAUGAAAAUUAUGGCAGGAAACGGCUGCGACAGAAUGUCAGGAUGCGGCGUGUUAAUAUUCCCCAAUUAUUGGUAAUAUUCACCCUAAGUCGAUGUCCAAAUAUAGUAAUUUAAGAACAUAAUUUAAAAGUAUGGAAUGGGACUCAUUGUUGUCAACCGGUUAUUACCGAUUCAAAUAAAUACUGAAAUAUACGGUAUUAUUUUCAAAAUAUACCGACGUAUUUUUGAUAUUCUGGCGAAUAUUACUAGCUAAAUAGAACCCUCAGGCCUGCCCACAUAAUUUUAUCCGACUA